rnacentral:lncRNA from 1 species
AUUCCAUGAAAAACUUUCCAUACUCGCUAUUCCAUGUUCCGUCUCUCCUGAAAAAUUCAGUAUCUUCUGGGAGGUUCUUGUACUCGCCGGCAUCAUGAGGUCCACUUGUUCCCCAGUUAGUUUUCCCGAUUGACUCAGCAUAUGCUUGAAGUGACGAUUUCAUAUACUGCAAUCAACAAGUAUCAUUUCUUAGAAGAAGCAAAUGGAGUAUAAGUAAGCAUAAGUAUACAUGAUCUUCUCUGGUAUAUGUCUAAUCUCUUGACUAGUGUUCUUAUGAAUUUCAAGGCUUUUUCUGCUAGUUUAAAAUACCUUGUCGUAGCACUGGAACUCUCCAAUUCCGGGGAAUCUCCAGGUCCCGUUGCUCUCAGGGUAUGAUGGGUAUCUCAAUUCUCCACAAGGUCCCAUUCCUACUUGAAUUUCCUGCAAUACAUAAAAUGAUGAUCCAAUUAGCUUAGGUCCCUGUAUUGCUCAUGUCUGAAGUUAAUUCGUUUCCUUUGUAGUCUAAAUUUCUGCUUACCGCAAUAACUCCUCCUAUGUAGCCUUCAAAUCGUUCACGGAAGCUCCUCAUGAAAUCUGAGUAGACCUGGAUAGGUGUUCUUCCUCUUAGGACAGGCACAGAAUCACAUCCCAAGGAGAUAUAUUCAGGGUUCCUUCUCCCAGAUUUGUCUGUGUAGACAAGAUCAGGGUUCUUGCUGAUCUCUUCAAGCACCCAUGGAGGCAAGGGGAUACUAGAUUGGAAGAGAGAGAACCAUAUAGAGCAUUAAUAAGCUAGAAAUGAGAGACAGAGAUUUUACUCAAAGGGAAGAAACUAAAGUUGCUUCAUUACCUGCAAGAGUCUCCUACGUUUCCUCCACAUUGAUGGAAUGACAUAACGACCUGGAGUUUGAGACCGUGCUUUUGAACCAUCUGUAUAAGCUCGGCAUAGCCUUCCCAGUUAUAAUUCAUAGGUCCAUCUUUCUCCACCAAUCCCCACCAAGCAUCCACCAUCACACCUUCCACACCAGCUCCUUUCAGGGCCAUCAAACUAGCGUUCAUGGCUCGUGGUUUGUUCAAAUGCCCUGACAUUGUUACUGUGUCGAGCGGUAACAUGACGAACACCGGAACGCUAGCGUCG